GACGAACGCUGGCGGCGUGCUUAACACAUGCAAGUCGAACGGCAAGGCCCUGCUUUUGUGGGGUGCUCGAGUGGCGAACGGGUGAGUAACACGUGAGUAACCUGCCCUGGACUUUGGGAUAACUUCAGGAAACUGGGGCUAAUACCGGAUAGGAGCUCCUGCUGCAUGGUGGGGGUUGGAAAGUUUCGGCGGUUGGGGAUGGACUGGCGGCUUAUCAGCUUGUUGGUGGGGUAGUGGCUUACCAAGGCUUUGACGGAUAGCCGGCCUGGGCGGGUGACCGGCCACAUGGGGACUGAGAGACGGCCCAGACUCCUACGGGAGGCAGCAGUGGGGAAUAUUGCACAAUGGGCGGAAGCCUGAUGCAGCAACGCCGCGUGCGGGAUGACGGCCUUCGGGUUGUAAACCGCUUUCGCCUGUGACGAAGCGUGAGUGACGGUAAUGGGUAAAGAAGCACCGGCUAACUACGUG
rnacentral:rRNA from 1 species